UGUCGUAUGGACAGCAAAGACUAAUAAAUAUAAUAACUUUCGAAUUUAUGAUCCAUUUCGAAUCAUCCGACUAUAUAAACGUUCAAGGGUCCUUGAUUUCUGAGAGAAAUUUAAAGUUGUAUUUUCAAAAGAUUUGAUUUUGAAGCAUAUAACAUUUUUAGUGGUAAGAAACCUUCAUCUGCCUAAUUAGGCCUGUUGUUGAUUUUCGAAUGGCUUACUGAUCAGUUACUUGAUUAAGCCAUUCGAAAAUCAACAACAGGCCUAAUUAAGAGAGUAAAUAAACAUAGGGACAUUGUUUCCUUAAAGCAUCGCGGUUUCUAUGAUGUCUCAUGUUUUCUGGAUGGCCCUUGAAAAACCAAGGAAGGCUAGUAAGCCUGUAUCGUACCGAUAUCCGUAUGAGGUCUCCAAAAUGAACAGCCACUAGUCAAUAGAAUCAUGUAGUUAAGGGAACUCGGCAAAUUAGAUCUGUAACUUCGGAAAAAGGAUUGGCUCCAGCAAUCAGGUCGGUUGGCCUGUUGAAGGAUGCUUGUGCGGUUUCUUUCGUGGCUGGCAGACGCUCACGCUGAAGCUGGACUAGAGACAAGACUGCCUUAUGGACGCUUUCAGGUGUGUACUUUGUCUCGUACGCUGACCGACCAUCAAAGCGAUCAAACUGGAACUGGUACAGACUCGGGAAAUCCAACUGCAUAAUUGGAACCGAGGAGACAGGUGGUCCUUGCGGACGUUUACUGUCUCUGAUUUCUGCCCAAUGUUUGAAUGUUAAAUCGUAGUAAUUCGAGUAAGCGCGGGUAAAUUGCGGGAGUAACUGUGACUUUCUUAAGCUAGCAAAUGCCUCAUCAUCCCACUGUACGUAUGUACUGUCUAGCGAAACCACAGCGAAGGGAGCGGGUUUGGUAAAAAUAGCCAGGAAAGAAGAUUCUGUUGAGCUUGACUCUAGUUUGACAUUAUAAAGAGUCAUGAGAGGUGUAGCAUAGAUAGGAGACCUCGGUUGACAAUGAAAUACCUCCUCCUUCAUCGAUUCUUUACUUACCAUUAGGAAACUUAGUUUUCUAAUAUAAUCAAAAUUUGUUCGCACGGGAAAAAUGUUGAGUAGGGAUAUUAGAUAUUCGUUCGUUUAUGAGCCUGAAUUUAGGUAUUUGGUAUUCUACUGGGUUUUUUAAACAAAUAAACUCAGCAUUCAUUUUUUCGAGGAAGUUCUCCUAGCCUUGUUACACUUUGUUUCUUGAGUCGUUUGUAAAAACAAUAAUCAAGGAAAAAUAUGUCUUUUUCGAUUAUUUGGAACUUUGCUGCAGGAUAUUAAAAAAGGAAGUAUUCCAAAAGU
rnacentral:ncRNA from 1 species